GCGGCCUUGGUGUAGCGGUAACACACAAUCUAUUUCUACCAUGUGCCGCUUUGAACUAUUGAAAUGAUUGGGUCCGGGGUUCGACUUCCCGAGGGCGCA